rnacentral:misc_RNA from 1 species
AACCUUAUGGACCUGCGGGCGUAUACCUGCGGAAGGAUCAUUACAAGUGACCCCGGUCUAACCACCGGGAUGUUCAUAACCCUUCGUUGUCCGACUCUGUUGCCUCCGGGGCGACCCUGCCUUCGGGCGGGGGCUCCGGGUGGACACUUCAAACUCUUGCGUAACUUUGCAGUCUGAGUAAACUUAAUUAAUAAAUUAAAACUUUUAACAAUGGAUCU